rnacentral:rRNA from 1 species
UACGUAGGGUGCAAGCGUUGUCCGGAAUUAUUGGGCGUAAAGAGCUCGUAGGCGGUUUGUCGCGUCUGCCGUGAAAGUCCGGGGCUCAACCCCGGACUUGCAGUGGGUACGGGCAGACUAGAGUGUGGUAGGGGGAGACUGGAAUUCCUGGUGUAGCGGUGAAAUGCGCAGAUAUCAGGAGGAACACCGAUGGCGAAGGCAGGUCUCUGGGCCAC